rnacentral:rRNA from 1 species
AGUAGCAAGGUUAAGCACUUAAGGUGCGGAGCCGUAGCGAAAGCGAGUUUUAACUGAGCGUUCAGUUACUUGACGUAGACCCGAAACCGGGCGACCUACCCAGGAGCAGGAUGAAGCGAAAGUAAAAGUUCGUGGAGGUCCGAACCCACGAGCGUGGAAAAGCUCGGGGAUGACUUGUGGGUAGCGGUGAAAUUCCAAUCGAGCCCGGAGAUAGCUGGUUCUCCCCGAAAUAGCUUUAGGGCUAGCCUCAAGGUGAGAGAUACGGAGGUAGAGCACUGAAUGUCCUAGGGGUAUUGCACCUACCGAAGACUAUCAAACUCCGAAUGCCGUCAUCUUAUACUUGGGAGUCAGACUGUGGGUGAUAAGAUUCAUAGUCGAAAGGGCAACAGCCCAGAUCGUCAGCUAAGGUCCCUAAAUGUAAGUUAAGUGGUAAAGGAUGUGGGAUUGCACAGACAACCAGGAUGUUGGCUUAGAAGCAGCCACUCAUUCAAAGAGUGCGUAAUAGCUCACUGGUCGAGUGAUCCUGCGCCGAAGAUUUCCGGGGCUAAAACUUACUACCGAAGCUACGGCAUCAGUAAUGAUGGGUAGGGGAGCUUCCCAUA